rnacentral:ncRNA from 1 species
UUUUUUAUCGCAAAGUUUUAUUUUGGCUUUGGAAUUGGUUUUUUUAUUUUAAUAUAUGUAAAUUUUUAUGUAGUUUAAAUAAGUUUUUUGCAGUAUGGAAUUUUAAAUAUUAAGUGGUUUUAGAUUUAGGAAUUAAGUUUAGUUCGGACAAAACUUGUGCCAGCAGUAGCGGUUACACAAGUCGUGUGAAUCAAUUUUAUUUAGUUUAAUUAAGUGUGAAUUUUUAGUUUUAGAUUAAAUUUAUUAGGUGAAAUUUUAAAUUUAAUUAAAUUAAUUUUUAUGUUGCUGAAGUUAGGAAAUUUAUCAAUAAACUAGGAUUAGAUACCCUAUUAUUUUAAAUGUGAUUUUUAGCUAUAAUUAUUAAUAGUUACGUUCUUUAAMAUUMMAAAUUUUGGCGGUAUUUUAGUCUUUUCAGAGGAMCCUGWUUUWUAAUCGAUAGUCCACGAUAAUUUUUACUUGAGCUUUAAAUUUAUAUAUCGUCGUUUAUAAAGAUUUUAUUAGAACUUAAAUUUUUAAUAUUUUUUAUUUUAUAAUAAUUCAGAUCAAGGUGUAGUUUAUGCUUUAGUUAAAAUGGGUUACAUUGAAUUUAUUUUUGGUAUUUUGGUUUAAAAUCUUAAUUAAAUUGGAUUUGAAAGUAAUGAUUUUUAUUUAUUAAUCAUGAUUAAGCUCUAAAAUAUGCACAUAUCGCCCGUCGCUUUCGUUAUAAAAUGAAAUAAGUCGUAACAAAGUAGGCUUAUUGGAAAAUGUGCCUAGAAUGAA